GCAGAGCAAGUGCAGCGAUAAAAACCAAACUCAUUACUGGAGCGAAAAGGACUGCGCAUGCUACUGCUAUACCGACGAGACCUGCAGCACUGGCCAACGAUACGAUCACAAUCUCUGCAGUUGUACGAAUGUGAACGUAGCGGCUCGAUCAGGAUUCUCUGAACUUCCAUCGUCGGCUACCGGUCUGGAUCGCCGGCCUGCCACUCGAGUGCCCAUCACGUUCGGAGGGUGAAGCGCGACGCUCGUUAACUUCCCUGCGGAUUUGUUUUGUUCUGACCAACUUACAAAUAUAAGCAAAUUAUUUUCAGUCAACAACGCUUAUAGCUUCUAUGAGACCUGAAUUGCAACAUUAAUUUCUAUGAUUAAAUUCUGAUGUCAAACACACUCGUGACAAACGAGUACUUUCUGGGCAUCGAUAUUUUACAAAUUUAGUACCUCAAAUAUUGCAAUGAGUUUAGAGUGACGUAUCAGUAAGCUAAAUUUUUCAUGGUUUUAUCUAUGAAUAAGGAAAUUGGUCGGCCGUGAGUAUCGUUCAAAGCAGCUGGACACUUGGCUUCUAGUAAUAUAUCCCAGCCGCAAGCAAAAUAAUGUUAAUUGGAAGAAUCAUUUCUAUAGAAGCGCUGACUCACCAAUUAUAAGAUAUAUACUCAUUGCCAUAAAGGACUCAUAAAAAACUACCAUAUCGAAACUCUUAUAACUCUCACAUUUUCUUUCACAAUUUCCAAUAAUAGCCGUUGAUUUUGCAUGGACGGUCAUCGUAAAACUAAAAUUAGGUCGAUAUAGAGUUUUUUAUUAUUAUAGACAAAAGAUUUAUAUCAUAUUGACGUUUGCAGACGCCUUGCAAUAAGUAAGAAAUAACUCAACGAUGAACUCGCAACAUUAAGAUUUUCAUCAAUUUUAACGCGAAUUACGCAGACUUUCGUCAACAAAAGUUACACGAAGUCGGAUUAGUCGGUAUGCAAAUUGUAGCGUUAAACUUAGGAAUUUA
rnacentral:lncRNA from 1 species